CAUAUAUAUGCUCCAUAUUUUCUUUAAGUAUUACACACAAAGCCCUGCCUCGUUUUAAGUAUUGUAGCCCUUGAUCACUGAUACCCUGUCCGACUGACGUAGGGUCCCGUAACGUAUAUCAAGGCUCUGCCUAAAUUCGUUGGGGUUCUGUUUCGUGACGUAGGGAUAAAGUUGAAUUGGGUUGCUAUACUUAAUGUGAGUGUACUAUAUAUUUUAUUAAAUAAUCCAGGAGUUGUACCCAAAAUAUAACAACCCUCCCGAAUAUUUUUCUGACACCCUACACUUCCUGAAAUACAUCCCAUACGUGAAAACCGAGCCCGAAUUAUGAUAUAUUAUUAAAAAUAAUCAAAAACAAGAAAAUAUAAGUCUAGGCGGGCCGCGUAAGCUACCCGUUAAGUUCACGCGGGCCGCGUGGGAGCUAAAAGGUGGCGCAGCCCGGUGGGGCCACGUGGCCCAACACCCGGCAAGUCUAUGAGCUGACCCAGCCAAGCUACGCAUUGACCUGGGGUCAACGCGGGCCGCGUAGGCCCUGCCCUAAUGUUACGCGGGCCGCGAGGAAGACGGAUUUCAGCACUAUAUAAAGAGGCAUCGGGCCUUCAGUCUGCUUCGUUCAAAAUCGUUUCUUUCUCUCUCAAAAUUAAAUAGUGGGCAUUAUACUCGGGUCUAAUACCCCCCUAAUUAGCGAAGCUCUGCCUCGUUACUAUAACCAGGGAAUCACAAAGGAAAGCCCUAUAAUAACAAUGUGAGUUGAUCCUUCUUUUUAUGUACUCAUUUUUGUAACUUAGUGUGAAGCCAAUAAAAGCCAGCUGGAGAGC
rnacentral:lncRNA from 1 species